GGAAUUUUCCGCAAUGGGCGAAAGCCUGACGGAGCAACGCCGCGUGAGGGAUGAAGGCCUCUGGGCUGUAAACCUCUUUUAUCAAGGAAGAAGAUCUGACGGUACUUGAUGAAUAAGCCACGGCUAAUUCCGUGCCAGCAGCCGCGGUAAUACGGGAGUGGCAAGCGUUAUCCGGAAUUAUUGGGCGUAAAGCGUCCGCAGGCGGUCUGUCAAGUCUGCUGUUAAAGCGUGGAGCUUAACUCCAUUUCGGCAGUGGAAACUGACAGACUAGAGUGUGGUAGGGGCAGAGGGAAUUCCCGGUGUAGCGGUGAAAUGCGUAGAUAUCGGGAAGAACACCAGUGGCGAAGGCGCUCUGCUGGGCCAUAACUGACGCUCAUGGACGAAAGCCAGGGGAGCGAAAGGGAUUAGAUACCCCUGUAGUC
rnacentral:rRNA from 1 species